ACCUACUCGUAGAAUGAAAGGUUACAAAAUACCAUUUCUGACAGAAGUUAUGGUAUUUACACUGCCUUUUACUGUUAUUUCAGAUGAAAACACCAAAACAGCAGAGUUCAAUGCGAAACGUGGCGAAACUAGACGUAGAAGCAUACCACAUAGUCGCACAAUACGCUACCAGUGACAAAGUGACGGUAGUUCCAUAUAAUCGAGUGAGAUACUCGUUGAAUGUGACUAGGGAAUGGCGCGUAAAACAACUAGGCAGGAUACACACAAAGAUAAUGCAGGAACAAAACAAAUUCGAGCUAGUGUCUAUAUACCAAAGAGCAAUCUCUGGCGACUACUAGAUCCGUCCGUUAUGAGCAUGGCCCUAGAUAACAGCAUAAUUGAGGACAUAAAGACUUACUGAUAACGGAAUUAUUUUAUGUGGCGAGAUGAGAGGAAUCAACACCA